UACGGAGGGUGCAAGCGUUGUCCGGAUUCACUGGGUUUAAAGGGUGCGUAGGUGGGCAGGUACGUCAGUGGUGAAAUCUCAGGGCUUAACCCGGAAACUGCCGUUGAUACUAUUUGGCUUGAAUAUUGUGGAGGUAAGCGGAAUAUGUCAUGUAGCGGUGAAAUGCUUAGAUAUGACAUAGAACACCAAUUGCGAAGGCAGCUUACUACACAAUGAUUGACACUGAGGCACGAAAGCGUGGGGAGCAAACAGG
rnacentral:rRNA from 1 species